GGGUCAGUAGCUCAGUCGGUAGAGCAGAGGCCUCUUAAGCCUAAGGUCCAGGGUUCGAAUCCCUGCUGACCCACCA
rnacentral:tRNA from 2 species